AACGAACGCUGGCGGCAGGCCUAACACAUGCAAGUCGAGCGCGCCCUUCGGGGUUAGCGGCGGUCGGGUGAGUAACGCGUGGGAACUUGCCCUUCUCUGCGGAAUAGCCUCGGGAAACUGAGAUUAAUACCGCAUACGCCCUUUGGGGGAAAGAGUUAUCGGUGAAGGAUCGGCCCGCGUUGGAUUAGGUAGUUGGUGGGGUAAUGGCCCACCAAGCCGACGAUCCAUAGCUGGUGUGAGAGGAUGACUAGCCAGACUGGGAAUGAGACACGGCCCAGACUCGUACGGGAGGCAGCAGUGGGGAAUCUUAGACAAUGGGGGCAACCCUGAUCUAGCCAUGCCGCGGGAGUGAUGAAGGCCUUAGGGUUGUAAAGCUCUUUCAGCUGGGAAGAUAAUGACGGUACCAGCAGAAGAAGCCCCGGCUAACUCCGUG
rnacentral:rRNA from 1 species